rnacentral:rRNA from 1 species
GAUGAACGCUGGCGGCGUGCCUAAUACAUGCAAGUCGAGCGAACGGACGAGAAGCUUGCUUCUCUGAUGUUAGCGGCGGACGGGUGAGUAACACGUGGAUAACCUACAUAUAAGACUGGGAUAACUUCGGGAAACCGGAGCUAAUACCGGAUGAUAUUUUGAACCGCAUGGUUCAAAAGUGAAAGACGGUCUUGCUGUCACUUAUAGAUGGAUCCGCGCUGCAUUAGCUAGUUGGUAAGGUAACGGCUUACCAAGGCAACGAUGCAUAGCCGACCUGAGAGGGUGAUCGGCCACACUGGAACUGAGACACGGUCCAGACUCCUACGGGAGGCAGCAGUAGGGAAUCUUCCGCAAUGGGCGAAAGCCUGACGGAGCAACGCCGCGUGAGUGAUGAAGGUCUUCGGAUCGUAAAACUCUGUUAUUAGGGAAGAACAUAUGUGUAAGUAACUGUGCACAUCUUGACGUUACCUAAUCAGAAAGCCACGGCUAACUACGUG